UACGUAGGUGGCAAGCGUUGUCCGGAAUUAUUGGGCGUAAAGCGCGCGCAGGCGGUCCUUUAAGUCUGAUGUGAAAGCCCACGGCUCAACCGUGGAGGGUCAUUGGAAACUGGGGGACUUGAGUGCAGAAGAGGAAAGCGGAAUUCCACGUGUAGCGGUGAAAUGCGUAGAUAUCGGGAGGAACACCAGUGGCGAAGGCGGCGAUCUGGGAAGAUACUGACGCUGAGGUGCGAAAGCGUGGGGAGCAAACAGG
rnacentral:rRNA from 1 species